GUAUUAGUUAAAAUAUAAUAUAAAUUUGUCAAAUUUAAGUUGGUAAAAAUUUACCAUAAAGCA
rnacentral:tRNA from 1 species